rnacentral:rRNA from 1 species
GGAUCGCAAGACCUUGCGCUUUUGGAGCGGCCGAUGUCUGAUUAGCUAGUUGGUGAGGUAAAGGCUUACCAAGGCUUCGAUCAGUAGCUGGUCUGAGAGGACAACCAGCCACACUGGGACUGAGACACGGCCCAGACUCCUACGGGAGGCAGCAGUGGGGAAUUUUGGACAAUGGGGGAAACCCUGAUCCAGCCAUGCCGCGUGAGUGAAGAAGGCCUUCGGGUUGUAAAGCUCUUUCAGCCGGAACGAAAAGGUUACGGUUAAUACCCGUGACUACUGACGGUACCGGAAGAAGAAGCACCGGCUAACUACGUGCCAGCAGCCGCGGUAAUACGUAGGGUGCAAGCGUUAAUCGGAAUUACUGGGCGUAAAGCGUGCGCAGGCGGUUCUGUAAGUCAGAUGUGAAAUUCCCGGGCUCAACCUGGGAACUGCGUUUGAAA